rnacentral:sRNA from 1 species
GCUGGGCAUAGUGGCGCACGCUUGUAAUCCCAGGGUCUCAGAGGCUGAGGCAGGAGGAUUAUGAAUUCAAAACCAGCCUCAC